GACGUAGGUGGCGAACGUUAUCCGGAAUUAUUGGGCGUAAAGGGUGCGUAGAUGGCCUAAUAAGUUAUCGGUGGGAAAUCGAGGCCCAACCUCGUGGAAGCUGGUAAUACUGUUAGGCUUGAGUUCAGGAGAGGUUAACGGAACUCCAUGUGGAGCGGUAAAAUGCGUAGAUAUAUGGAAGAACAUCAAUAACGGCGAAGGCAGUUAACUAUUCUGUUACUGACAUUGAGGCACGAAAGCGUGGGGAGCAAAACGG
rnacentral:rRNA from 1 species